AGUGAACGCUGGCGGUAGGCCUAACACAUGCAAGUCGAACGGCAGCACAAUAAGAGCUUGCUCUUACGGGUGGCGAGUGGCGGACGGGUGAGGAAUACAUCGGAAUCUACUUUUUCGUGGGGGAUAACGUAGGGAAACUUAAGCUAAUACCGCAUACGACCUACGGGUGAAAGCAGGGGAUCUUCGGACCUUGCGCGAUUGAAUGAGCCGAUGUCGGAUUAGCUAGUUGGCGGGGUAAAGGCCCACCAAGGCGACGAUCCGUAGCCGGUCUGAGAGGAUGAUCCGCCACACUGGAACUGAGACACGGUCCAGACUCCUACGGGAGGCGGCAGUGGGGAAUAUUGGACAAUGGGCGCAAGCCUGAUCCAGCCAUACCGCGUGGGUGAAGAAGGCCUUCGGGUUGUAAAGCCCUUUUGUUGGGAAAGAAAAGCAGCAGGUUAAUACCCCGCUGUUCUGACGGUACCCAAAGAAUAAGCACCGGCUAACUUCGUG
rnacentral:rRNA from 1 species